GACGAACGCUGGCGGCGUGCUUAACACAUGCAAGUCGAACGAAGAGCGAUGGAAGCUUGCUUCUAUCAAUCUUAGUGGCGAACGGGUGAGUAACGCGUAAUCAACCUGCCCUUCAGAGGGGGACAACAGUUGGAAACGACUGCUAAUACCGCAUACGAUCCAAUCCCGGCAUCGGGACUGGAUGAAAGGUGGCCUCUAUUUAUAAGCUAUCGCUGGAGGAGGGGAUUGCGUCUGAUUAGCUAGUUGGAGGGGUAACGGCCCACCAAGGCAAUGAUCAGUAGCCGGUCUGAGAGGAUGAACGGCCACAUUGGGACUGAGACACGGCCCAG
rnacentral:rRNA from 1 species